GGGUCACUGCCAUCGGGGUUCGAUUAAGCCAUGCGAGUCGAGAGGGUUCGGCCCUCGGCGUACUGCUCAGUAACACGUGGAUAACCUGCCCUAGGGAAGGGGAUAACCCCGGGAAACUGGGGAUAAUACCCUAUAGAUUACAGAUGCUGGAAUGCCCUGUAAUCCAAAGUUCCGACGCCCUAGGAUGAUCUGCGGCCGAUUAGGUUGUUGUUGGGGUAAUGGCCCAACAAGCCCGUAAUCGGUACGGGUUGUGGGAGCAAGAGCCCGGAGUUGGAUUCUGAGACACGAAUCCAGGCCCUACGGGGCGCAGCAGGCGCGAAAACUUUACAAUGCGGGCAACCGUGAUAAGGGAACCUCGAGUGCCUGUAAAUGCAGGCUGUUCAGGUGCCUAAAACACACCUGAAGAAAGGGCCGGGCAAGACCGGUGCCAGCCGCCGCGGUAAUACCGGCGGCUCGAGUGGUGGCCGCUUUUAUUGGGCUUAAAGCGUUCGUAGCUGGGUUGUUAAGUCUCUUGGGAAAUCUGGCGGCUUAACCGUCAGGCGUCUAAGGGAUACUGGCAAUCUUGGAACCGGGAGAGGUGAGGGGUACUUCGGGGGUAGGAGUGAAAUCCUGUAAUCCUCGAGGGACCACCUGUGGCGAAGGCACCUCACCAGAACGGCUUCGACAGUGAGGGACGAAAGCUGG
rnacentral:rRNA from 1 species